rnacentral:rRNA from 1 species
UGGGGAAUUUUGGACAAUGGGCGAAAGCCUGAUCCAGCAAUGCCGCGUGUGUGAAGAAGGCCUUCGGGUUGUAAAGCACUUUUGUCCGGAAAGAAAUCCUUGGCUCUAAUACAGUCGGGGGAUGACGGUACCGGAAGAAUAAGCACCGGCUAACUACGUGCCAGCAGCCGCGGUAAUACGUAGGGUGCAAGCGUUAAUCGGAAUUACUGGGCGUAAAGCGUGCGCAGGCGGUUUGCUAAGACCGAUGUGAAAUCCCCGGGCUCAACCUGGGAACUGCAUUGGUGACUGGCAGGCUAGAGUAUGGCAGAGGGGGGUAGAAUUCCACGUGUAGCAGUGAAAUGCGUAGAGAUGUGGAGGAAUACCGAUGGCGAAGGCAGCCCCCUGGGCCAAUACUGACGCUCAUGCACGAAAGCGUGGGGAGCAAACAGGAUUAGAUACCCUGGUAGUCCACGCCCUAAACGAUGUCAACUAGUUGUGGGGAUUCAUUUCCUAGUAACGUAGCUAACGCGUGAAGUUGACCGCCUGGGGAGUACGGUCGCAAGAUUAAACUUAAUGAAUUGACGGGGUCAUAGCUGUUUCCU